AAAAAGCCCGCUUUUGCGUCGGCAUAAGCGGGCUUCAUGUGCGGGGAGGCUGGAGCUAAGGCGGAUGACUGCGGCUUUCCGCCCUUCGCUUUAGCUGUUUCGGGUUGCCCCGCGUCCGCAAGCUGAGAUCAAAUCGACGCAAGCCGCCAUGUUAACACGCUCGCGGCGCGGUGUGC
rnacentral:sRNA from 1 species